ACGCUGGCGGCAGGCCUAACACAUGCAAGUCGAGCGGUAACAUUUCUAGCUUGCUAGAAGAUGACGAGCGGCGGACGGGUGAGUAAUGCUUGGGAAUAUGCCUUAGGGUGGGGGACAACAGUUGGAAACGACUGCUAAUACCGCAUGAUGUCUACGGACCAAAGGGGGCUUCGGCUCUCGCCCUUAGAUUAGCCCAAGUGGGAUUAGCUAGUUGGUGAGGUAAAGGCUCACCAAGGCGACGAUCCCUAGCUGGUUUGAGAGGAUGAUCAGCCACACUGGAACUGAGACACGGUCCAGACUCCUACGGGAGGCAGCAGUGGGGAAUAUUGCACAAUGGGGGAAACCCUGAUGCAGCCAUGCCGCGUGUGUGAAGAAGGCCUUCGGGUUGUAAAGCACUUUCAGUAAGGAGGAAAGGUUAGUAGUUAAUACCUGCUAGCUGUGACGUUACUUACAGAAGAAGCACCGGCUAA
rnacentral:rRNA from 1 species